GCUGGAGAUCAGAUUCUGUUUCAUCAUGGAUGACACACAAACAUCCAGAGAUGAAGAUGUUUCUCCAGGAUGCAGUUCAUUUCAGCAGAAGAGAUCAGAACCAGAGUCCAGCUGUGUGUCUAUGAGGAGUGACUGGUCUAUGGGUCGUAUCAUAGAUUUUAAGAGUGGAGAUACACAGACUGAUCUCAGUUCAGUUCAGCAGAAGAGACCAGAACCAGAGUCCAGCUGUGUGUCUAUGAG